rnacentral:rRNA from 10 species
GUCUAUAGCCAUACCAGCUUGAAUGUGCCCAAUCUUGUCUGACCUCAGAAGCUAAGCAGGGAUGGGCCUGAUUAGUACUUUGUAAGAAGGAUAAGACAUCAGUUUGAAAAGAGC